rnacentral:rRNA from 1 species
ACAAUGCAAGUCGAGCGGUAGAGAGAAGCUUGCUUCUCUUGAGAGCGGCGGACGGGUGAGUAAUGCCUAGGAAUCUGCCUGGUAGUGGGGGAUAACGUUCGGAAACGGACGCUAAUACCGCAUACGUCCUACGGGAGAAAGCAGGGGACCUUCGGGCCUUGCGCUAUCAGAUGAGCCUAGGUCGGAUUAGCUAGUUGGUGAGGUAAUGGCUCACCAAGGCGACGAUCCGUAACUGGUCUGAGAGGAUGAUCAGUCACACUGGAACUGAGACACGGUCCAGACUCCUACGGGAGGCAGCAGUGGGGAAUAUUGGACAAUGGGCGAAAGCCUGAUCCAGCCAUGCCGCGUGUGUGAAGAAGGUCUUCGGAUUGUAAAGCACUUUAAGUUGGGAGGAAGGGUUGUAGAUUAAUACUCUGCAAUUUUGACGUUACCGACAGAAUAAGCACCGGCUAACUCUGUGCCAGCAGCCGCGGUAAUACAGAGGGUGCAAGCGUUAAUCGGAAUUACUGGGCGUAAAGCGCGCGUAGGUGGUUUGUUAAGUUGGAUGUGAAAUCCCCGGGCUCAACCUGGGAACUGCAUUCAAAACUGACUGANUAGAGUAUGGUAGAGGGUGUGGGAAUUUCCUGUGUAGCGGUGAAAUGCGUAGAUAUAGGAAGGAACACCAGUGGCGAAGGCGACCACCUGGACUAAUACUGACACUGAG